AGAAAUGUCAUUUGGUCCUGACUCUGGAAAAGGUGCCAAGAGCUUAGUUGAACUUCUUGUAAGUAGUUCACCAUAUCUUACUGUGUAUUGGGGGAGAUAUUUGAAGGUUUCAGGUAGGAAACAGAUGACUUUCUAUUUUUCACUGAUGACUUCUGUGACUUCUGGAGCACAUUGUUUUAUUUGUCUCAAAGUUCAGAGCAUUGGGAGAGUAAGAAGUGGCAUCAUGUCUAGAAAUCUGAGUUAUUGUAAACAAAAUUUAUCCACGUGGCAGUUUAGUACUUACCUUUCUAGAUCGGGAAAGAAUAUUAAAUAAGUAUAAUUUCAGUAUCCCAAAGGAAGAGUGAGGAAAGAUUAACAGUUUGGCUCAUGCUCAGCCACUUAAGAGUUUGAAGCCAUCCUAGGAUGAGACCCUGUUUUAAACCUCCUAUACUCCCUACUCCUAGAACAAAAACAAUAAAAAAAUACCUUGAACU
rnacentral:lncRNA from 1 species